rnacentral:lncRNA from 1 species
ACUUCUCCUUUAUGCCACCAUGUGAAGAAGGAUGUAUUUGCGUCCCUUUCUGCCAUGAUUAUAAGUUUCCUAAGGCCUCCACAGCCCUGCAGAACUGUGAGUCAAUUAAACCUCUUUUCUUUGUAAAUUACCCAGUCUCGGGUAUGUCUUUAUUAGUAGCAUGAGAACAGACUAAUACAGAUAGUAAGGACCCACAGACCCCAUGCGUUACUGAGAGCCUUCGGGUCUGUUUAUAGAUCACUGUCUGCCUUAGCAUGCAAAUCUUGAGGUUUAGUUUCUUUUCUGAAAAAUAUAAUCCCAGUUAGAAAUGAUAUACAUGGUUAUACUGGUUAUAAAUGUCUUAAUUUACUUGUGCAAACCAUACACCGAGAUUUCAGAAAAAACAAUUACAUUCCUUAACAGAUGUUUGUCCAUGAGAUGCUAAAGUCAUUAUGUGAAAAGGAAAAUAUACAGCUGUUGGAUUUGUACGACAGAAAGACUUUGCAAAUAAAGAUGUCUCAUAUCCCCUUUAAUUUGUAGAUGAGGAAAUUGAUUCAUUGGCAUCAUAAGUAGAUGUAUGAUCUUGAAAAAUAUACAGAGCCAAAUCGAACAAAGGGUUUUUAGCUCCCAAUUCAGGGAGUUUACAGCCUCUUCCCUGUGGCUUGCAUGGCUCCUUCUCACACACAAUCCCCCGCCUGCAUGGUUAGAGUGGGCAGUCCAGGGAUCCAGGCUAUUGGAGUGAAGGGAUAAAAACUGUGGGUAACUCACAGCCAAAUUGGCUAAUUUGUUCUGAGUAGUGACUGAUAGAGUGUUCUGAGGCUACAAGGAAAGAAGAGGUCGGCCACAUUUUAUUUUAAUGCAUUUCCAUUAAAGAGUUCAUAAAUUGUUCUUUUGAGAAGACUCUUAAGAGAUUAAGUUUAGGAAAUAUUGAAAAUGGAGGAAAACCUCCCUUUUAAAUAUGAUCUCCUGUGUUCCAUGAUCCAUUUAACAUCAAACCAUUCUUCACUUGUCUUAACACUUUUCUUAACAGUGAGACACGCAUCAAAGUGAAUUCAAAACAAUGUUAAGAGUUUUAAGAUACCUAAUAUAGCUGAAAGCUAUUUCCUUGUUAUUUAAUAAACGUCUGAUUUUAGGCAAAUCCCAUUCUUCCUUAUUUUUGGACAUCAAAUUGUAGUUUUACAUUUAUUUGUUUAGGGUUAUCCACAACAUGAAACACACACAACUCAUUAAAAGUAAAUUAUAUUUUCAGAAGUCCAUCAGCUAAUGCCAGGUAAACUGUACCAGCAACUAAGGGCAGUGGACAUAAUGGUUUGGAGAAUAAUGUCAUGUUGGAGGACAAGGUUGACCCCUGUUCCCUGGCUAAUAUUUAAUCUAUAUUUUAAUGAAAACAUCGGAUGUUUAUUUUUGCAUUGAAAAAAAAGAAUAAGUAUUGAAAUUUUUCUGAAAGGGAAAAACAAUGUAUGUGUAUUUACAAAUGUAGUAUGUGGCACUUACAUUAAAUAAAAAACACCUGCAACUAUACAGGCUGUGAGAGACUUAGGUAAUAUGAAGAUGAUGGUGAUGGUAAUGAUGAUAAUGAUGACAUGAGACAAAUACCAAUAUUUAUUGAGUCCCAUCUCUUAAAUUGUUGUGCCCUUGGCAUUUGACCAUCAUUCUAUUUCCAUGUAACAGCUUUAAAAGGGAGGUGCCAUAAUCCCCAUUUAAGAUGCAGAACCAUCCACUUGUUCACAUCAGCAAUAUUGUGUUCAGUUUUUAGUGCCACUUUUUAAUAACGACAUUGGAAAUUCUGACGCACACCAGAAUUUUAAAAAUCACUGGAUGAUUAUGACUUUUUGUUUUUACCACUCCCAAACUUAGCCCAGUUCCAGCAAGUUGACUUUGCCUGCUUAAGAUGUAAAGAGAGAAAGAAAAAUAAUUAAGUGUUCCAUGUGAUAGUACUUGUUGCCGUGAAUCCAUAUUUAGUGCCUUCUUUCAAAUCAAAGCUUGCACUGGUCUCUUGUUAUACACUUCAGUGUUGCUCUCCAAUCCUCUCAGCCCUGACCCACCAGGAAAUCUGCACUGUUAGUGCAUGCUGAAUAUCCACAGCAAUGACCUCACAGAACUCUACAUACCACCUCGAGGAGUGAAGCCAAGGUCAGCAUCAGGUUUUCAGUAUGAUGAAAAUAAAAUGUAAAUUUCAAAAAUUGGGGACAUAACACAAAUUUACUGUUUUCUUUAAACAUUUUAAACAUUGCCAUAAUUUUCAGAUAAGAAUAAAUUUUUUAAGUAAGGGCAACUUAAGGAGAUGUAUUUUUAAUGCAACUAAUCCUACUAAAACUGAAUGCUAUUAGUUUAACACAAUUUUUGAGCACUUACUCCGUAUGAGUGAACAAAGUAGAAAAAUUCCCCACCCUUCAGGAGUGUUAUUUGAGUGGAGGGCUAUUUAUAAAUAAAUAAAUGAGCCAGAUGAUGACAUAAAGCAUGGUACCAAGCUAGUGUGGUAGUGGCAUAAAAAUAGAAAUAAGUGAUUAGAAUGGAAUAAACUAUGGAAAUAGAUCCACACAUAUAUGAAUAAACUGGUUUUGGAUUUUGUUGUUGUUGUUAUUCUAACAAAAAUACAAGGCAAUUCUGUGCAGAACAAAUGCUUCCCGAAAUAUUGUAUAUGCAGCAAAUAAAAAAUGAAUUUUGAUCUAUUACUUCACACUAUAUGCACAAAUUCCAAAUGUAUCUGAAACCUAAUAAAAAACCUCAAUUAUAUUUUUUUCAAAAAACGGUGAAGAAAGUCUUUGAGAACUUAGGUUAGGCAAAGAUUUCCUAGAUUCUUUAUCCAAAACAUUAUCUAUUUUUAAAAAUUGAUAACAUUUAAACCUUUUACUCUGAAAUAUGUUGUUCAGUGAAGGAAAAGACAGGCUAGACUGAAAGAAAAUACUGGCAAAUAGUAUAUCUAACAAAAUAUUUAUAUCAGAAUAUUUAAUUAAUGCUCAAAAUUUAACAAUUAAGAAAACACAGCAAAAAAUUGGUCAAAUAUUUGAGCAGAUAUUUCACUAAAGAAAAUAUAUGUUAACAAAUAAGCACAUGGAAAUAUGCUCAACAUCAUUUACUCACUAGGGAAAUGUAAAUUAACCCCAAUGAAAUAGUAAUGCACACUGAAUAGAGUAGCUACAAUUAAAAAUUGACCAUAUCCAGUUCUUAAACCUAUAGAUUGAUACUAAUCUAUUAAUGUACUUAAAAUGUAAAGGAACCCCAGGUGUUUAGACAAUUAACCAAUAAAAAUUAUUUCUCUCAGUUUCUAAACCUAUAGAUUGAUACUAUUAAAUUUAUUUAAAAUGUAAAGGAACUCCAGGUAUUUAGACAAUUAAACCAAUAAAAAUUAGGUCAAAGAACAUCAAACUUUUCUUUUAAGCUAAUAUAAAAAUAUCUAAGACCUUCUGCUGAUUGUCACAUAGUAUAAGGGUAUGUGAGUAAAUGGUUGCUAAACUGCAUUUUGGCACUAACAUAUGACCAGAUCCAUCUGUUGGGAUCCCAUGCCGUGGUCCCAUGGCAGUGAGCUAUUGUGGAAAAUGUAUUCUACUGAGUGGAGGGAGAUGAAGGAAGUGAUCACUAAGGGAAGAAGCUAUGAUGAUUACUGUAGAGAUAGCAGCAACAGGAAGCUGCAAUAAAUAUCUACAAACUUUAUUCCUGUGUUGAAAAUGCAGCUCCUGCCUAAAAUAUUAGAAAUACCUCUUGAAUAAGAAGAUAAAUAAGGAAUAAACAAAAUUUACCUAAAGCACUGUCACCUUGGAAAAUUGGAGCACAAAUGUUACUUCACCUGGCCAACCAGCCGUGGAGCCUGGCCUUGACUUCAGAUCUGCUGAUUUCUACUUACGUGCAGUAAUUGACAUUGGGGCUUAAUUAAGAAACUGUGUUCCAAACGAAAAGAUUUGCCAUUAUUUGGGCAAAGGCUUGUUGACUUUGGCACGAGAACCAAGUGUCACACUUUCCUUUGGCAACUGUGAAUAUUCUUGUCCAGUUGGUAUAUAUUUCCAAGAAUGUUUCCCAUUGGCCUAUUUUGGAUUCCAUUUAUAAAAUGUUAAGGGAUAAUAACAUUUACCAAGUACAUGUCUGAAAGUUUGCACUGAAAUAUUCCACGCUAUGCCCCCCCCCACAACCAUUCCUUUUUUUAUUUAUCCUUAAAUGCCCUUACACCUUCAGUAUUCUCACAGCCCUUUUGUUCUGCCUCAAAGUCAGACCCUUCUCAAUUCCUGCCUCUAUAUUAAGAUAAAUAACCAAAAAAUCUUCAACUUGCCAUCUUGUUAUGUAAGUCCAAUGCUGACAUUAUUUCUUUUCUCAGCUCUGCCAUUUGGGGCUGAGAUUUAGAGCUGCUGCUCGACAUGAGCAUUCCUCAUCUCCUUUCCAUUUCAUAAAUGUGGAUGCUCACUGGUUUUCCUCUUAUUUGGGUUCCCCAAGCUUAUCUGCUUACUGGUUUGCCUUUCUAUGUAUGCAUGACAGUCAGAAAGGUAAACUGUUAUAGGAAGUGUGGGGACAUCACAGUGCAUUUGUGUAUCUAACAAACUUAUUGAGCACACACUGUGUCAAAUGCUUAUCACAGCCUCUGAAAUAUUAAUAAUCCCUUUUCCUGAAUAGUGUAUACAUAGCUUCUAUAACUUGAUCCAUCCUCUCAGUUAUUAAUUUAUAUAUUUGUCUCCCUCCCUAUACCGGUGAUUCUUAACUAUCUGGCAAUGUCUAGAGACACUUUUGAUUGUCAAAACUGGGAAGAUGCUAUUGAUACCUAGUGGGUAGAGGUUAGGGAUGCUGCUAAAUAACCUACAUUUCACCUGACUUCCCUCACAACUAAAUAUUAUCAGCCCUCAACAUCCAGUGCUGAACUCGAAAACUGCUCCAGGCUAUGAACCCUGGGGAGCAGGGACUGUGUCAUGGUCAUCCUUCUGUCUUCACUGCUUCACACCACUAGAAGGGGCUUCCCAAGUGGUGGCAGUGAAACUGCUGUGGAAAUUGCAGGCCAGCAAAGAUGAAUAGGACAAGGCUGUUUCCUAGAGCCUUGCUACUCAAAUGCAAUCCAUGGACCAGCAGAAUGGCUAUCACCUGGGAAGUUGUUAGAAAUGCAGAAUUUGAAGCCCCACACCAGACCUACUGAGUCAGAAUCCUCAUUUUAACAAAAUUCUUAAGUGAUGCAGAUGCACUCUAAAGUUUAGAAGCACUGACCUAAACAUGUUAGUGUCAAAUGGAUGGGGUGGGUAGGUGGAAGAUUCUCAAAAGCGGAAGUCCAUGUUCACCUGACAAAAAUAGGCAAAGGGAUUCCACCUGGGUUCAUCUCUGGCGGGCGCAUGAGGUCUAGGUGAGCAUCGCUGAGCCCAGAAAACAGCUAGCGUUGGGGAUCUCAGAGCCCCAGUUGCAAACCCAGAAUGCAGGCAGAUCACUUAGGCAAUCAACUCCCUUUAUGGAUAAUGAGUGUGGACAUCUUUCCUGGAUCCUGAUGCCAGGAGAUGUAGAAACAAAUGGUUUGUGACACAGAGUCACAGAGCCAUUAGCUGGAUGUACAGACCAGGCAUGGUGGCUCACACCUGUAAUCCCAACACUUUGGGAGGCUGAGUUGCUACAGAAGGAGUACUAACAUACAUUGCAAAUCAGAUCCAACUAAAUGAAUUAAGGAGAGUGAAUUGAGG